GACGAACGCUGGCGGCGUGCUUAACACAUGCAAGUCGAACGGAAAGGCCCUGCUUUUGUGGGGUGCUCGAGUGGCGAACGGGUGAGUAACACGUGAGUAACCUGUCCUUGAAUUUGGGAUAUCUUCAGGAAACUGGGGCUAAUACCGGAUAGGAGCUCCUGAUGCAUGGGGGUGGUUGGAAAAUUUCGGCGUUUGGGGAUGGACUCGCUGCUUCUCAGCUUGUUGGUGGGGUAGUGGCUUACCAAGGCUUUGACGGGUAGCCGGCCUGAGAGGUUGACCGGCCACAUUGGGCCUGCGAGACGCCCCAGACUCCUACGGGAGGCAGCAGUCGGAAACAUUGCGCAAUGAGCGGACGCCUGAUACAGAAACCCCGCGUGCGUGAUGCCGGCCUUCGGGUUGUAAACCGCUUUCGCAUGUAACGUGGCGUGAGUGACGGUAAUGAGUAAAAAAGCACCGGCUAACUACGUG
rnacentral:rRNA from 1 species